AAGUCUGCUCUCCACUCUCAACCAUUUCGAGGAGCGGCAGUGUGUUUGGGGCUUCUUUGUGCCCUCUUAGUUUCAGCCAUUAUAGGCCUCUGUGUCUACUGUGAGUAUGUGGAUCAUAAAGUAUUAUGGAUUUUGGAGAGGUGUAGAAUGACAUCGUAGAGUAAACAUGUCCUUCUCUCUCCAUAGUCAGCACUGCUCUCUCAAAGCACAACAGAAAGUUAGUGGGGGAACUGGCGGCCAAUCAGGACCUAAUGAAUCUCAAUAGCAAUCUGAGUACAGCCAAUCACAUUUUGCAGAGUGAUUACACCAAUGUCAGCACUACAAACCGACGUUUAGCGGCAGAGAAAGAACAUGUGUCAAGAGAGAGGGAUAGACUGAACUGGAAUCUUCAGUUCAUAUUUCAGUUUGAUGACUUUCCGGUCCAGAAAUAUUGUUCACAAAACGUUGGCACAGGAGAGAGAGUGUGUAACUCUUGCCAAGAUGGCUGGAUUUUGUUCCAAUCUAGUUGUUACCUGAUUGUGCAAUAUGACACUCCAUGGAAGACCUGGACGGAAAGCCAACAAUAUUGCAAACAAGAGAAGGCUGAUUUGCCCGUCAUUGGCAGCCGAGCAGAACAGGAAUUCGUUCAUAGCCACACUAAAGAAUACUAUGAUAAGUACCAUGGGUAUUGGAUCGGUUUGACGGACAAAGCUGAAGACGGCAAAUGGCUCUGGGUUAAUGGAGGUCAUCAGAAUCUGACUGAUGGGUUUUGGAACAGUCAAACUGGGGGUGAUUGCGUGUUAACUGUCCCAAACAAUGCACCAUUGGCUAAUUGGAAUGCUGUACGGUGUGAUAUGCAGAACAGUUGGAUCUGUGAGAGUAGAGCAUUAAUAUGGUCAGAUUAAAUUGCAGGGACACUCUCUUCAGAGGUAUUCUCACAUACUGAGCUCAUAUAUUAUUGCAUCUUCCUUUGAGAAUUCAAUUAAGUUGUAUUCUUCUCAUUGAAGGACCCCUGCAUCUGCUUGUUGGGGUCAAAUCAGAUUCACUCAAUUCAGGAAUUGAUUUUAAUAUAGAAUUCACAAAGGAAAACCUUAAUUGGCUGACGCAAACACAGGUCUGUUUUGUACGUUUUUGAAAUGUUAACAAUCAACGAUCUGUUUUAAUGUAGCUUUGGUGAAUUGAAAAAAUAAUGUUUAGUUUUGAGCUCUCAUAUAAAUCAGGCACAUUUUCUUUCACAUCAAUUACUUCAUUAUGACAAUGAAUUAGUGCUCUUAUAUUGUCUUAUUGUAUUAUGUUUUAUACAGUUGUUUCUAUGUUCACAAUCAAAGAUCAACUGUAUGUAUAGUAGUGUUUUAGAAUAACAUUUGUUUUGGCCUUUCAUAGAUCAGAAAUCAUAUAAUAUUCAGUUUACAAAGUAAAGCUGGACUUGCCAUCCAAGAUUUUCUUCCUUCAAUUUUUAAACUUCUUAGCAUAAGAAGUACAAGUUUAUGAUGAUGCUGUCACCACCAUACUCCACCGUAGGGAUGGUGCCAGGUUUCCUCCAGACGUGAC